CCAGAUGCAAAUAUUGAAUAAAAAUGUAGAAGGUAGAUAAUAAUUUUUUUGCAAUUUACGAGCAACAGAUCUUAAGGAAAGCUUAGUUAAAUUGGAAGCUAAAACACAAAGAUUCAAACUCGCCUACAAACGGAAGUGAUAGCACAAAGAAAGCUUGUAAAAGGAAAUAAGACUCGAAUGCUGCUACUACCUAAGUCCUUUGAUAAAUUAGAAGACCUUAAAUAAUUUAAAGAGGACCUAAACGAUUCAGCUGAAUUGUGUGAACAACUGGAGACAAAAAUGAUAAACUAUAACAUUUCCGAUCCUGCUAAAUUUCUGCGCACUAUUUGGAAAAAAAUGUUUACGGAUGAUGAUGUUACCAAGUAUUCGUGGGACCAACACCAAAAUCUGUGUCCUAAGCUUGGCAAUUACACCAGCAGUUAGAAAUUCUUUCAAUAAAAAAUUUGCUGUCGACGAGAAGCAAUUCUCAUUAAUAUGCAGCAAAUGGUUCCAAACAGCCAAUGACAGAAUUAAAUAUUAUAACAAAACAGACAAAAAAGUAAAACAAA